rnacentral:rRNA from 1 species
AGAGUUUGAUCAUGGCUCAGAGCGAACGCUGGCGGCAGGCCUAACACAUGCAAGUCGAACGGAUCCUUCGGGAUUAGUGGCGGACGGGUGAGUAACACGUGGGAACGUGCCUUUUGGUUCGGAACAACUCAGGGAAACUUGAGCUAAUACCGAAUGUGCCCUUCGGGGGAAAGAUUUAUCGCCAUUAGAGCGGCCCGCGUCUGAUUAGCUAGUUGGUGGGGUAAAGGCUCACCAAGGCUACGAUCAGUAGCUGGUCUGAGAGGAUGAUCAGCCACAUUGGGACUGAGACACAGCCCAAACUCCUACGGGAGGCAGCAGUGGGGAAUCUUGCGCAAUGGGCGAAAGCCUGACGCAGCCAUGCCGCGUGAAUGAUGAAGGUCUUAGGAUUGUAAAAUUCUUUCACCGGGGACGAUAAUGACGGUACCCGGAGAAGAAGCCCCGGCUAACUUCGUG